AUGCUCUUGAAGGUGCUCUCACGGCCAGAUGACUUGUUGGUUUGUGGACAAGCCACUCUUCAGGAGGCUACCACUAUGGCUAAUCUGAUUCAUCAAUUUUGUGCUAUUUCUGGACAAAUUCCGAACUGGACCAAAUCUGCCAUUCUUUUCAACACUCAUGUUCCUUCUAAUACUGUGCAAGAUAUUAAGCAAAUUUUCCCUGUUUCUUCCUUGGAUGCUAAUUUUACCCAUCUUGGUCACCCGCUGGUUCUUCCUGCUAAAAACAGGGUUGUUGCCUAUAACUUUGUUCUCGAUAAAUUCUUGAAUAAGUUGCCUUCCUAUAAAGCCAACAUGCUUUCUCAUGCUGCCCGUCUUGAGGUGAUUCGUUCUGUUUUUUCGGCCAUCCCUGUUUAUUAUAUGGCUAAUAUCUUGUUCACGAAGAAAUUCAUUGCUAAGCUUACGACUAUUAUUAGAAAUUUCUGGUGGACAGGUAUUAGAGAAAAUGACUCCACAAAGAGCCUUUGUCUUAGGGCAUGGAAAGACAUUUGCAAUUCUAAAGAUGAAGGAGGUCUGGGCAUAAGGAAUUUAAAGGCCAUCAACGAAAGUCUUCUUCUAGCAGCUGCUUGGAGGUUAGCUAAAUCUCACUCUUCUCAUUUGUAUCUUGUGCUCAAAGCGAAAUAUUUCCCAGCUACUUCCAUUUGGACAGCCACUGCUACUCCUCCAAAGUCUGCCUUUUGGGCUUCUAUUCUAAAAAUGUUACCCAAGCUUAGAACUCAUUGUUUUUAUCAAAUUAUGCAAGGUAACAUUUCCAUUUGGAGCAUGCCUUGGUGUACUAAUUGGAGUUCAAUCCAUGAUCACCUUAUACCACAACAAUCUGGUUUUCUGUAUCCUACUUUGGUUAAAGAUCUUUGGCUUCCAGGACAAAAGAUUUGGAAUCAUGCUCUUAUUUUCUCGCUUUUCCAACAACCCAUGGCUUCUGCUAUUGUUCAAACUGAUAUUGUUGAUGAUGAUGUUCCAGAUUUGCUUUGUUGGGAUCUUACUCCUAAUGGCAUUUGUUCGUCCAAAUCUGCUUACAAACUGUGUUUGCAAGAAAUCCAUUCUAAUCCUAAACAUGCCCCUAGUGUUGUUCCUUCGGUAUUAAAAGAUCUUCUUAAAUUGUUUUGGAAACAAAAAAACAUUCUCCCUAGGGUGCAAACUUUUGCCUGGAGACUUCUAAGAAAUGCUUUGCCUACGGGAUUGCGCGCUGCUCGUUUCUCAAUUCACAUUUCUCAGAUGUGUUGUCGAUGUGGUCAGCAAGAGGAUGAGUUUCAUCUCUUUUUUCUUUGCCACUUUGCUCGUGCAGCCUGGUUCUCCUCUCCUUGGUUUCUUAAAGCGGAUGUUUUGCUUCAAGGGCAUUCUAUGAUGCAUUCAGUGCUUACAUCCCUCAUUCAGAUGAGGCAUUCACAUGGUUCUAUUCCAAAUAUUCUUAAUUUUCUAUGGUGCCUUUGGAAAGCUCACAAUGAUUUUCUUUUUGAUCGAAAGAAAGCUCUUGCUUAUCAAGUUAACAUUGCAGCGGUUGCUUUGAAUUUGGACUCUGAUGAUGUUCUUUCAAGUCUUUCUAAUAAGCAACAACAGAUUCAACAUCAUCUUGCUAACAAUCAGCUUCCUUUGCAAGGUACCACGCUCAAGUCUGAUUUGUUAAUUGUCGGAGCAAAUUUUUUUUCUGAUGCAGCUUUCAGAACAAAGAAAGUCCCUGGUCUUCCACCAGAUGAAGUUGCCACAUGUGUUGGAAUUUACAUCUCAAUUCCAUUUGCUCAAGGAGAAAUCAAUAUUCAGAUUCAGGCCUUGGCAACAUCUACUUCCACUCCUUUACAAGCUGAAGCCAUUGCUCUUUCUUCUGCUGCUUAUAUAGCCUCUCUGCUUAAUGUUGUUCAUCCAAUUUUUUUGACUGAUUGUCUUUCUCUUGCCAAGUGUGCUGCUCUGAGAAACACCUUGGACUCCUCUAUUCCUUGGAACAUUAGGAAGGAUCUGGCCAUUUUUCUCAAGCAAACUGCUUCCUUGCAUCCGAAGGUGUUUCAUAUUUCUAGAGAGAUUAAUGGUAUUGCACAUAAUCUUGCUCAACAGGUUUUUAGAUCCACUGGUAAUACUCAAGUUUGUUGCUUUGAUCGAACCCAUUCUCCUAGAUCUUGCCAUGUUGUGCCUCUCCUAUCAAAAUUUCAAAUUCCAGGUGUUAAACUACAUACUGUGCACUGCUAUUAG
rnacentral:rRNA from 1 species